CCUGUCUUUUAACCUGUUACCAAUCCAUGAGGGCACCUUCCCUCUUAUCCUGUAACAGCUUACUUUGCUUAAGAGCCUUUGGCAAAGGACCUUGUCAAAGGCUUUCUGAAAUUCUACAAAGCCAUCAAGCCACCAAGGAUAGGAGGGUCUGCAAAAGGCCCCUAGGCAGAGCCCACAAGGGCUGUAGAACAACAGUGAAAUUCUCUGACACCCUCCAUCACUGAGACACUUCAUUGAUUUGUCUGAAUGUUAAUGAUGGAGAGUUCUCUCUGUUCCUCCCAUGUGUUCUUUUGAGGCAGCCAGCAGGGGGAUCUGGGAACCAGGACUCCUGGGUUCUAUUCCUGGCUCUGGGAGAGGUGUGGAGUUUAGUGGAUAGAGCAGGGGAGACUGGGCAUCAGGAUGUAUGGGUACUUCUCCAAGCUCUGGGAGGGAAGUGGGCUCUAGUGGGUUAGAGAUGGAAAUCAACCCACUGCUCUGUUUGCCAUUAAACUUUUCAGCCCAA